rnacentral:lncRNA from 1 species
GGAGACUUCCCCUAAAACCACAAGAUUCUGUGAAGUUUACAGUGGCGCCUCUGCUCGUGAGCCGGAAACACAGAGGAAGACGGGCGAUGUCUCAUCAGCACCGCAAGCGUCGCUUCACUGCUGUGUAUUUUUGCCAGCCGGCCGCCAGUGAGAGGCAAAUUCUGGUUUGCUCCAGUGACAGCCCCACGGGAUCUACUCCACCCAGGGAGUCGCCCAUCACUGCAAAUCAAGCGCGAGGCUGACAGCUUGGCUCUGCUCCAAAAGCGUGUUUCCAGUUGGGAGCGAUCCAAAGAAAACCCGGAGAGCUCCGCCAAGUUCCUAACGAGCGAUCCAGGCAACUGGAGGACAGAGUACCUGGCAGAUGGAGCCUUUUCCUGGAAUGGGACUUUGUUGGCAGCUCUGUGGCUGCGAGGCGUCCAAGGAGGAAGCAGACAAACGCACCAACAGCCCGCUCGUCCUAACGCGGCGUAUUUGUUUCGCAGCCAACCAGUGAGGAGCCAGCCUCUUCCUCGCCGGCGCAGCAGGAGAGCUGGAGGCGCACUCGCUCGGGCCUCGUCUGCAGCCGGAGCCAAGUCGUCCGUUCAUUACCGGCAACAAGCGGCGUGAACGGCAUCAGCAGCAGAAGAAGAAGCCUCUCAUUGAUGGAAGUCUCUGGCAGCAUAUUUCAAGCUGACAUCAUUCAGCGUUUGACUGUAUCUGACAAACGGAGCUGCUCGCUGGGCAGUUGGACGUGUGUUAUACCCAGAGGAUGCGGGAGCUCCGUACGUUUUCACAGUCACUUCACAGUCCAGGCAGCAGCACAACGACGGACAGAGAAGAUCUCUCCUCCUCAGGAGGAGGACGGAGACACGCGAACGAUAAAGGUCAUCAGAAAAACACUCCCUACAAAUAUUAGGCGGAAUAAAUGCACAGAUUAAUUGGCA